rnacentral:rRNA from 1 species
CCUACGGGAGGCAGCAGUGGGGGAUAUUGCACAAUGGGGGGAACCCUGAUGCAGCGACGCCGCGUGGGUGAAGAAGCGCCUCGGCGCGUAAAGCUCUGUCAGCAGGGAAGAAAAUGACGGUACCUGAAGAAGAAGCCCCGGCUAACUACGUGCCAGCAGCCGCGGUAAUACGUAGGGGGCAGGCGUUAUCCGGAUUUACUGGGUGUAAAGGGGGCGCAGACGGCGAUGCAAGCCAGGAGUGAAAGCUCGGGGCCCAACCCCGGGACUGCUCUUGGAACUGCGUGGCUGGAGUGCAGAAGGGGAAGGCGGAAUUCCUGGUGUAGCGGUGAAAUGCGUAGAUAUCAUGAGGAACACCGGUGGCGAAGGCGGCCGGCUGGAGUGCAACUGACGCUGAGGCCCGAAAGCGUGGGGAGCAAACAGGAUUAGAUACCCUGGUAGUC